GUGGGGAAUAUUGCACAAUGGGCGCAAGCCUGAUGCAGCAACGCCGCGUGAGGGAUGACGGCCUUCGGGUUGUAAACCUCUUUUAGUAGGGAAGAAGCGUAAGUGACGGUACCUGCAGAAAAAGCACCGGCUAACUACGUGCCAGCAGCCGCGGUAAUACGUAGGGUGCAAGCGUUGUCCGGAAUUAUUGGGCGUAAAGAGCUCGUAGGCGGCUUGUCGCGUCUGCCGUGAAAACCCAGGGCUCAACUCUGGGCGUGCGGUGGGUACGGGCAGGCUAGAGUGCGGUAGGGGAGAUUGGAAUUCCUGGUGUAGCGGUGGAAUGCGCAGAUAUCAGGAGGAACACCGAUGGCGAAGGCAGAUCUCUGGGCCGUAACUGACGCUGAGGAGCGAAAGCAUGGGGAGCGAACAGGAUUAGAUACCCCGGUAGUCC
rnacentral:rRNA from 1 species